CCCGCUCCCCACCCCCCGCUCCGCCCGGGGGAAAACCUCCGGGAACGAGCGGACCCAUCCCCGCCUCUCCUCCCCCUCCUCCUCCUCCUCCUCCCCCUUCUCCUUCUCGCCCGGUGCCGCCGGGAUGAGCCUCCCACGAUUUCGUUUCCAUUUCGGGCAACAACGAUUCCCGCUCCCCCGCCUCCCUCCGCCUCCCGCCAGCCCCGCGCUCGCUUUCCCCUCCGAGGAAAAAAACGAAAAAACGCCGAGAAAACGGCUAAAAGCAAAAAGCCCCACAGCCCCAAAUUCUCUUUGCUGGAAUCGGUUCAGUCCCCGCCGCUCCUCGGCGCCCGGUGAGUCCCCUCUGCUCCCCGCUUCUCUCCCGUCGAGCCCGGAGCGGUCCCCGCCGCUCCCCCGGUGCCCACCGCGCUCCGGCGCAUCCCGGUUUUCCCCGGCGGGUGCCGACAUUCCCGGUCCCCGCCGCUCCCGGCCGGUUCUCUCCAGCCCCCGAUGGAUAUUGGUGCUCCCCGGUCCCCGCCGCUCCCGGGAGCUGAUCCUCGAUUCUUGCCGGGAGCUGAUCCCCGGUCCCCGCCACUCCCGGGAGCUGAU
rnacentral:lncRNA from 1 species